rnacentral:rRNA from 1 species
CCCUGCCCUUUGUACACACCGCCCGUCGCACCUACCGAUUGAAUGGUCCGGUGAAAUCUUUGGAUUGGCGCUUUACUUUCUUUACGGAAAAUUUAGCGCUGAGAAGUUGAUUAAACCUUACCAUUUAG